CCUACGGGUGGCAGCAGUGAGGAAUAUUGGUCAAUGGACGAGAGUCUGAACCAGCCACGUAGCGUGAAGGAUGACUGCCCUAUGGGUUGUAAACUUCUUUUAUAUGGGAAUAAAAUGUUCCACGUGUGGGUUUUUGUAUGUACCAUAUGAAUAAGGAUCGGCUAACUCCGCGCCAGCAGCCGCGGUAAUACGGAGGAUCCGAGCGUUAUCCGGAUGUAUUUGGUUUAAAGGGAGCGUAGGUGGGUUGUUAAGUUAGUUGUGAAAGUUUGCGGCUCAACCGUAAAAGUGCAGUUGAAACUGGCAGUCUUGAGUACAGUAGAGGUGGGCGGAAUUCGUGGUGUAGCGGUGAAAUGCUUAGAUAUCACGAAGAACUCCGAUUGCGAAGGCAGCUCACUGGACUGCAACUGACACUGAGGCUCGAAAGUGUGGGUAUCAAACAGGAUUAGAUACCCCAGUAGUC
rnacentral:rRNA from 1 species